rnacentral:rRNA from 1 species
AGGACGAACGCUGGCGGCGUGCUUAACACAUGCAAGUCGAACGGAAAGGCCCGCUUGCGGGUACUCGAGUGGCGAACGGGUGAGUAACACGUGGGCAACCUGCCCUCAGCUCUGGGAUAACUCCGGGAAACCGGUGCUAAUACUGGAUAUCGACUUCUGCUCGCAUGGGUGGUUGUUGAAAGUUUUUCGGCUGGGGAUGGGCCCGCGGCCUAUCAGCUUGUUGGUGGGGUAAUGGCCUACCAAGGCGACGACGGGUAGCCGGCCUGAGAGGGCGACCGGCCACACUGGGACUGAGACACGGCCCAGACUCCUACGGGAGGCAGCAGUGGGGAAUAUUGCGCAAUGGGCGGAAGCCUGACGCAGCGACGCCGCGUGAGGGAUGACGGCCUUCGGGUUGUAAACCUCUUUCAGCUCUGACGAAGCGAGAGUGACGGUAGGAGCAGAAGAAGCACCGGCCAACGUACGUGCCAGCAGCCGCGGUAA